CACGUUGUGCUUGCAAGGACACGGGUUGCGCCUGCAUCUUGACGAUAGUCAAAUCUUUAGUUUACAAUAAAUACACCGCUUCAGUACAUGAAGGCUUUACUUUGUUAUGGACUGCUAUUCUGAACAGACAAUCGAUAUCUCGAAUCAAGGGAUUGACUUAAGGAACGAAGGGAUACGGAAAGCAGGCAACUUCACGGCUAUGACGCGCAAGAUACACGUGGUUGCCAUACGUUGCACUUGUUACAGGUAAAUCCUGAAGUUACGUACAUAUACAUCCCAAACGACGGACAAAAUGAGACUUGGAUUUAUCUUGAGAUGUAUAAUCUCUGCCAUUAAACCAGCUGGCAGGUUACGAGGGUGAUAAAUUCAACGUGCCGCUACUAAUGGCGGAAUUAGCGAAGGGUUAUACGAUGGGAACGAUAAGCUUUCAGCGUUCAUGCUUCAUAAUUCAAGAAGGUAAUACGUUUUGUGUCGCGCGAGGACACCAUUUGUAGUGUCUUCAUAGUGCUGAGAUGACGAACCUGUGAACAUUUUUGAGAAUCCGGAUUGCCACUUGUGAUGGGAAAUGGAUAAUGGGACUUUAUUUAAAAAAAUAUACAUAAAGAAUACAUUUGAGUAUCGCAAAGGUAUGAGGUCACGAUGAAAAACUGUUCUGUAAUAACUGGGCCGACCGGAGACAGAAAUCAUCUUGUUGACACGAGGAACAUUAUUAUUCAUCUAUCUUUAGUUUUAAUAUACGUCAUGUUGAAUGACAGCGCGUUGGUACAGUCAGCGUCAUUUAUUUUAAUCAGUAAAGCACAUACAUUCUGGUUAAUUUGAGUUUGUUAUUAACAAUGUUAUAAUCAAACAAUGAAUUACUUUACUAACGUCUGAGAGACAUUGGUAAAUUUUUGUUUUUCGAAAAAUUAUGUCCUUUUAAGAACACAGAGGUUCUAGAGACUGUGACUGAUGGGCUACUUCCUUAUAAAAGGCCCUAUGGGGGUCCAGGACGAAAAGCUGGAGAACCAUUGUCUCUUGUUUGCUAGAAACACACCGGAAGCUUGUAUAGGAAAAUUGUACUUUUGCCUUUAUUACCCGGUACUGUAUACGAGACUUUUGUCUCUUGCAGGACACGUGUUCGCCAUCGGGGUAGGGAUAGCAAUGGCGAAUUUAGAUUCGUGGUGCCAUUUUUAAAAAUGGUUCAACUGUACUGUGCCAAACAUUACAGUAUGACGAUUGCAUAAAAAUAUAACCAGGAUCUGGUUCAGAAUUGUAAGAGUUACAGCUUUAUAUAAAAGUCAUGGCGUAACCAUAAAAAAGUUGGACAUUUUGAAAAUCCAUCAACCACCCAGAAUUGUUUUUCCAGGUCCCUGAAAUGGGUCCCAAAGAGCGGCACGAAACGUUCAACUCUCUUUUACGAUCCAAGACAAUGGGUCCGAGUAGUAACACAUGUGUCUGUCCCAUUUUCUAGGAAUGACCUUUAGCUACGUACGUAGGUAUAUAGAUACCUACGUUGGGCCCUAUUUCUACAGGACGCGUAUCCACGCUCGUACCAUACAGACUUAUAAGGAAAAAAGGCAAAAAAGCAAAGAUAGAAACAGGACAAUGGACCAAAGUAGGUAGGACGAUGUUCUUUAGCCGUGGAAACGUACAGUGUUAUGGGACCCCCGCUGAGAAUGCGAGGGGCCUUAUGGACAAUCCGUGAGGCCCUUUUUUCUGCGACAGUUGCCGGUCCCUGUUACACUCCUGCCAUCGUGGUUCAUUAAAUCCUCAAACCGUACAGCAUCCACGAUCUCGAUACCCCCUUGAAGAUGAAUGCCGUAUAGCUGCCAUGUAACCAGUAGCCACAUUCCACAUCCCAUGCCACAUAUGAACUGGAGGAAUAUAGGAUGAUCCUGCUUCCUGGAAAAUGGGACACGCGACGCUUUCGUCUCCUCCUGGAAGGAAGCGUGCCCGAUGUUUGGAAGCACCCCGUGGAUCCAGGAUAGUGCCGACGAAAGAACGCUGACGUAUUCAUGACUGUUUUCUCAGAGUUUCUGGUUUGACUAUUAUAACCUAGAGUAAAGAAUACAUUAAAUCAAUCUCCAUCCACCCUUUUAGCACCGUCUCGUUGAGUCCUGAAAGUCUAAUAGAAUUGUACGCCAUUGCUUACGGAAGAUCCCCAAUCACCAUUACUAUUAUACCUGUGGACCAAUCGACGGCCAAGGAAUGCUUCCAGGAACUAAUGGUUAAAUUCCAAGGAUGCUAUUGGUGGAAAGUAAGCAGGUAGGAGCCAGGUGAGAAACGCCCAUAAAAAUGCAGGAUACCAGGCUGCACCUGUUGUCAUCCCAUAAACCAGCUGGAUCUUCGAUCCCGCUCAAGUUACUCGCAGCAUAGACCCACACAUACUCUACAUAUGUACAUAUGUCAUACGUCGUGCGUUUUGACCGGCUGUGGCAUUUCUGUCGGGCCGACAGCUGUUACCCUGUGUCAUUUAGGCUUUCAUAGGAUUCAUACAAGCGUUACUUAUACCAGCCACUCCUUGGAUUCGGCCCACUUUCCUAUAGCUGGGAUCAGAACCAUUUUAUUAAAUAACUUUUCUUUUUUGAUUAUAACAUUUAAUUUUUACACUUUUCUACGGCAUUAUAAAAAAUUAAUAAAAUGAUAUAUAUAUAUAUAUAUAUAUAAGGUAUACUGUACUACUAUUGUACAAUUACAUUGUAAUUUAUAUAAAAAUUCUACAGACUCUCCACUCGAUGACCCUGACCUUUUACAAGAGGUACCCCAGGGCUAUGAAUUUCUAAGAGGAUCUAAAUGGUCAACGGUAUCUUGGUAUGUCUCAUACAUUAAAAACUCUUACUUUUUUGUGCUUCCUCUUCGCCGGACCAACGUAAGACUUUGAAAUUGGCACGCAGGAUGAUUUUAGCUAUUCGGUUACAGACGGGUCCGCCCCGCUGGCGCCAGCCCGACAAAAAACACCGAAUAAUCAAGCGUGUCUCCCACCACGAGUUCAUCUUACGUUCAAUUCCGUCUACACGGUCGAGGGCGCUACGGGGGCGGGACGAACUUACUGUAACUUUGUCAGGAAUUAGAUGCGGAUGGAAUGUCAUGGUAUCGUGAAGAAAUAACUAGUGACCAUAACUCUCGUCCCGCCCCAUCCUUUGUUACGGUACGUAUAGCGUACUAAAAUUCAAAAAGAAAAAAAGAUGAACCCAGCAAAGCAUAUAAUAUUCUAUGGGAUAUAGUCUGGUAUCAGAAUAUUCAUUUUAUACAUAGGUUAGAAUUCCUAUAGUCCGUUCCUGGACACUUUGUACUAAGAAAAAAAUGAUGUUACGUUAUCGUGCUAAGGGAGUUGUUUUCUUUUCUAAAAAAAGACUCCACUCCAAUUUCGGGGGGCCCUUUUAAAGAACCAAUCAUAAAUCCCUUGGAACAACCCUUUUUACUUUGUCCUCCCAUAGCAGGAGAUGGAGACCCUUUUCGCUAUGUGUAUAGAUAUAUGUAUACGCCACCUAUAUUCACCUAGUCAAGUGGGAUAGGUUAAGGGCGACUGUCGUUUUUAACCAAGUGCGAUCGUCCUCGAUGUCACCGACGACGCCUAACCGACGAGACGUCUCACCGACAGAUUCACACCGUACUUCCGGUUUCUCUUUCAGGUUCGGCGAAGCAGAGGAAAUUUUUAAGAAUAUCUUCGACACUCACCAUAAAUCAAGUCUCACUGUCGUUUCUCCUCUUUUUCUCUCUGCUAUAUUUUCUCCUUUGGUUUCUUUCUUUUUUUUCAAUUGACUUUAACGACGCCCCGGAACCUAAAUUCAAUUUACAAUAUUGCGAAUUAAAAUAUCUUUUAUGUUCCAACCGUGUGUAUGUUAUCGCACAGGUGCAUCCAUUCUACGAUUCUUUACUCAUUCUUAAUUCUAGUUGAAAACCGCUAAGUGCUCCUUAAUGGUUCCCACGGCUAUAACGUAAAUUUCUCAAGGAGCUAUGUUUACCUAUGUAUUAUUUCCAUGAAAGCGGCAACUGCAUCAAGACGUCGUUGCUAUUUAUUUUCCUUACUACCGGGCGCUCUAGACUCAAGACACCAAAUGAGUCAUACGGUCCCAGUUCUGAAAAGAUCCACAGAAGAGGUAUAUACAUGCCCUUGUAUACCUAACUGGAGAAAGAAGAUGGAUACUCUCAGGAGCUUAUAGUAGUGGCAGCGGAUGUCAUCACGUGUUUUUCAACCUCCCUUGGGAUAGAAUCCUGAAUGGAGUGCCGUCUUAUGU